GGUGCGCGGGAACUUGGAAAACUGCCAGUUUUGCACUUGCCAGUUCCGUGUUCGUAACAGUAGAAUUAGCACGUAUUUCUACAACAUGUUACGCCAAUUAAGCAAAGUGGUCCAGCAAAAGGCGAGAUUCGCUACAGCUGCGGUCCCUGCUCCUCAAACGAACCCAGAGAUUUUAUACACCGGGUUAUUUAUCAACAAUGAAUGGGUCAAGUCAUCGGACGGCAAGACGUUCAAGACUGAGAACCCCAGCAAUGGCAAAGUGAUUGCAGAUGUACAGCAAGCCAGCAAGACUGAUGUGGACAAGGCAGUCAAAGCGGCUAAGGAUGCCUUUAAGCUUGGUUCACCAUGGAGGAAGAUGGAUGCCUCCGAGCGAGGAUACCUCCUCAGUAGGCUGGCCGAUCUUGUCGAGAGGGACAGGACUUACUUGGCUAGUCUAGAAACCCUGGACAACGGGAAGCCCUACACGGCUGCUUACUACGGCGAUGUGCAGGCAGUUAUCAAGAACUUGCGAUACUAUGCCGGCUGGGCCGACAAGAGCCACGGCUUGGUGCUGCCCAUGGACGGCAAACACUUCGCCUAUACUAGGCAUGAGCCUGUCGGUGUAUGCGGUCAAAUUAUCCCAUGGAACUUCCCACUCCUGAUGGCAGCGUGGAAGCUAGGCCCUGCCCUAGCGGCGGGCUGCACGGUCGUCAUGAAACCGGCCGAACAGACUCCUCUUACUGCGCUAUAUCUCGCUCAGCUGGUUAAGGAAGCUGGUUUCCCCGAGGGUGUGGUGAACAUGCUGCCAGGUUUCGGCGACGCGGGCGCAGCUCUCGUCGACCAUCCCGAUGUCGACAAAAUCGCUUUCACUGGUUCAACCGAAGUAGGCAAGUUAAUCCAGCGCAACUCAGCGGGUACAGUGAAGCGCAUAACAUUGGAGUUGGGAGGAAAGUCUCCUAACAUCAUCUUCGCGGACACUAACCUUGAGAGAGCGGUGGAAGCUGCACAUUUCGCGCUAUUCUUCAAUAUGGGACAGUGCUGCUGUGCUGGAUCCCGCACAUUCGUGGAGGACAAGAUCUACGACAAGUUCGUGGAGCUGUCCGCCGAGCGAGCCAAGCGACGCGUCGUCGGGGACCCCUUCAAGCCUGACACCGAACAGGGACCACAGAUCGACUUAGAACAGCAGACCCGCAUCCUGAGCCUGAUAGAGUCAGGCAAGCAGCAGGGCGCCAGGCUGGUGGCGGGAGGCAGCAAGGGAGCUGAUGCCGGCUACUUCGUGCAGCCCACUGUCUUCAGCGACGUGCAGGACACCAUGGACAUCGCUACCACUGAGAUCUUCGGCCCCGUGCAGCAAAUCCUGAAGUUCUCUCAGCUGGACGAGGUGGUGGAGCGAGCCAACAACUCGCAGUACGGACUCGCGGCCGCUGUCUUCACGCAGGACAUCGACAAGGCUAACUAUGUUGUGCAGCGACUUCGCGCCGGCACCGUAUGGGUGAACGAUUACAACGUACUAAGCAACCAGGUUCCCUUCGGAGGUUACAAGCAAUCCGGCAUCGGACGCGAGAACGGACCCUACGGCAUUAAGAACUACACGGAAGUUAAGGCUGUCAUCACUAAACUUACUGAUAAAACAUCCUAAACAUAAGAGUAAAAUUAAUGUGAAAUAGUGAUGUUCGAGUGUUUGGUGAGAAGCGGUAAAAGUUAUCGAUAUUUUAGACUACAUAAAAAUAUUGUAGUCUAAUCUAUACCUACUUUCGUAAGUCUUCCAUAAAGCAUUCACGCAUUCAGUUGUAUUUAAUUUUUGAAGGUACGUUUAUUUCAGUAGUGAUGUGAUAAAUAUAUCGAUAACUUUUUACAGUGGACUAGCUAAGCAUUGGCUCAAGACAUUCGCACAAAUAUCGUAAUAUGUAUAUUUCGAUAUGUAUUUUGUACGUAUUCAACUCACAAAUUAUUGAAGAAUAAUUCGUAAGUUGUAUCGAUAUUAAUGAAUACUCUAUUUUUAAUGCUCUGUUAAUGUUAAUUAAUAUUGAACACUAAAAAAGUUAAUCUAUACAAAUACAAUUUGUCUCGGUAAACUUUUGCAUUUGUUAUUUUAUGUGAACAGUGUUUUUGCAUUUGAAGAGGCUGAGAUAUGUAGAACCAAUGAAAUUGAUUCCAAAUGUCUUCCAAUAUAGACAAGUAAAACGUAUGUAUCUUAUGAAGCACAAUGUAUAUUUCCAUUAAUCAUUGUAAAGUGCCAUUUACUUUUUUCUAUGUUAUCCUAUAUUUUUGUACAAAAAAUAAAAAGCCAAAAAUUAA
rnacentral:misc_RNA from 1 species